UGGGGAAUAUUGGACAAUGGGCGAAAGCCUGAUCCAGCAAUGCCGCGUGAGUGAUGAAGGCCUUAGGGUUGUAAAGCUCUUUUACCAGGGAUGAUAAUGACAGUACCUGGAGAAUAAGCUCCGGCUAACUCCGUGCCAGCAGCCGCGGUAAUACGGAGGGAGCUAGCGUUGUUCGGAAUUACUGGGCGUAAAGCGUACGUAGGCGGUGACUCAAGUCAGAGGUGAAAGCCUGGAGCUCAACUCCAGAACUGCCUUUGAAACUAGGUCGCUAGAAUCACGGAGAGGUGAGUGGAAUUCCGAGUGUAGAGGUGAAAUUCGUAGAUAUUCGGAAGAACACCAGUGGCGAAGGCGGCUCACUGGACGUGUAUUGACGCUGGAGG
rnacentral:rRNA from 1 species